GUUUGAUCAUGGCUCAGAACGAACGCUGGCGGCGUGGAUAAGACAUGCAAGUCGAACGAUCACUCAAGGGUAGCAAUAUUUUUGAGUGGGAGUGGCGCAAGGGUGCGUAACACGUGGGUAAUUUGCCGCGAAGUUGGGGAUAACUCGCUGAAAGGCGAGCUAAUACCGGAUGUGAUCAUUUGGUGGCAUCAUUGGGUGAUCAAAGUUGGGGACCGCAAGGCCUGACGCUUCGCGAUAAGCCCGCGGCCUAUCAGCUAGUUGGUGAGGUAACGGCUCACCAAGGCCAAGACGGGUAGCUGGUCUGAGAGGACGGCCAGCCACACUGGAACUGAGAGACGGUCCAGACACCUACGGGUGGCAGCAGUCGAGAAUUUUUCUCAAUGGGGGAAACCCUGAAGGAGCGACGCCGCGUGGGGGAUGAAGGGCUUCGGCCUGUAAACCCCUGUCAUUUGCGAACAAACCUCAUUCAUGAACAAUGGGUGAGCUGAUUGUAGCGAAAGAGGAAGGGACGGCUAACUCUGUGCCAGCAGCCGCGGUAAUACAGAGGUCCCAAGCGUUGUUCGGAUUCACUGGGCGUAAAGGGUGCGUAGGCGGCCGGGUAAGUCUGGUGUGAAAGUUCGCAGCUCAACUGCGAAAAGUCAUUGGAUACUCUCCGGCUGGAGGAAUGGAGGGGGGACUGGAAUACUUGGUGUAGCAGUGAAAUGCGUAGAUAUCAAGUGGAACACCAGUGGCGAAGGCGAGUCCCUGGACAUUUCCUGACGCUGAGGCACGAAAGCUAGGGGAGGCAACAGGAUUAGAUACCCUGGUAGUCCUAGCCGUAAACGGUGCUUGCUUGCUGUAAGAGGAAUCGACCUCUUUUGUGGCGAAGCUAACGCGAUA
rnacentral:rRNA from 1 species